AUGCCACCAUGCUAUGCAUGACCCUUCCCAGCAUGAGCUGGUACAUUCCACUGCAGUCAGUGAGUUUUUGUUGGGUUUUCAAUUUCCGGAACCUGCCAAAGAAAAGUUGAUGACGAAGAAAAAGAUCUGCAAUGAAGGGUUCUCGUUACUGUGAAGAGAGCUGGCUGACACGCUGUAAACACAGAAGCAAGCUGCAGAGAUGUCUUUGAACAGAAGUGCAACAUCUCUGUGAUAAGUGACCUGUCUAUGAAUACAGAGAAACUCUGAAGGAAAAGCAUUCUGUGAAGCAAGGUGUCCCCAGAGUUCAGGGACCUCCUCAGAAUCACGUUGUCUGUUAACAAUGCCACCUGGGCUCAGAAGCCUGCUCUUUCAUGCCUCACCUAUGGCUGAUGGGUAAACACAGGUUCUAGAUCCUUACUGAAUGUUCUAGGGCAUAAGCCAAGAACAACAUCACAAUGGCGGAAAUCCGGGCUGAGCUUUCCUGGCAUUCACCACAUAUAACUGCGAGGCUUCUUACAGAAGGCAGAUGCCCAGUCACUGAGCUGUUGAAAUCGGAGCGUCUGCUGAGAUUAACCAUUUUCACUCUGGGAAACUAAUCAAGAAGGAUGGAAAACGUGUGAACUGGCAAUCCCUAGGUUUGAAAGGGGCAAAUGGGAAUGAAGAAAAGAAAGAAUGCAGUGUGUCCCUGAGAUUUGAAUGACAUCAAAAUCAUAACAGUGGUGAUAGGAACCCUGUGCUUCCCUGGCAGCUCACUAUGGGAUACUUGACAAGAUCCCAUAUAUGGUAGUUAGCCAUCCCGGAGCUACCGGCCCUGUAGCAUCCUUCUUUGCCAAUGUGGUAUCUCCAGAAGAAAUAAAGAAAGUAACUAGUAGAUGGAAUGCAACUCUGGCAAUUCUAGAAGUGCUUUCUCACGUUCUCUGUGGGAAACGUGCUUUCAUCCUGUGUGUCUGGAGUCUACUUCAAAUACAGUGCAACAGAUUUGACUCACUUUGACUAACUAUCCCCUAAUUCUUCAACCUACAAACAUGCAUCUUUGAUCUACUCUAAGUACCGUGUCCUUUACAUAUUUACAUCAUUUUCAUCUUCAGGGCUUGCACACUUUGUCAAGAAGUAGCCAGUGUCAAGACUAAAUAAUGAACCUGUUUUGUAGUUAAUAAAAUUCUUCCUAGAUCAAUAAGGUUAAGGAAUGACAUCAUCGCCUGGCCAUGUUAGUCAAUUUAAAGAGAAAUAGCUGACUUGACUGAAGAGAUAGGGUUAGAAAUGGUCCACAGCAUUUGCCCUGGGGCUUUGGCAGGGUUUGAAAUGAACUGUUCUGAAACAGCACAAACUGUUGUUUUUCUGACGGCUAAUACCCAGUCUUCCCAAGCAGGGGACCUGGUUCAGCAUCCCCAAACUGCCACUUAGAAUUCUAGUCUGGUCUACUGCUGUGCAGAAGGUAAAUGAGGUAGUGUGGCCUCUUCCCGAAGAGCUGUUUUCAUUUUCUUCCCUAGGGACAGCUGUUUUGGGGGGACGGGUCGGUACUGGUAGGAUAGGGAAAUGGUGACAAGGCAAAAAAGCGGAGAGGAAAAUGAGGCUUGUGGGAAAGUAGGAGUUGAGACCAUGGUGAGCUCUAAAAAGGUGUUCCAGGGGGACACCAGAAAACACCGUCAAAUGUGUCCAUUGUAAGUGGACACGACUCAAGCCCUUCCCUUCCUUGCUUGGGAAUACUAAGUUGUUGUGGACCUUUUAAAACAGUUUCUGAUUGUGUCUCUCCACCUCUCAGACUGCAGAAACUUCUAUCACUUUAGCACUUCUGUUCUAGUAGAAGUAAGUAAUAGAGCCACAUUCUCCUUUGCCCAAUGGAGGAGAAGCUAUGCCCUGUAGGAUGCCAUUGCUGUGACCAUAUGAGCAGAUCCAUAUGUCAGCGUGCUUUGUAUAAUGUGAGAAACUCCUUGAAUCGAGUGUCUGAGGCUGCUGGCUGUGAAAAGAAUCAGGACCAGAAUGAAGACCAUCUCACCAAGACCGGCUCAUGGGAGACACCAGCAAACCCUUUGUAAGAAUAAAAGAAUCGCUCUCCUUCAGUAACGAUAGGAUUACAUCAUCGAUCAACCACAUCCAGUGGAUAGAACUCGAGUCUGGGACCCCAGUCUGUGGGAAACUAGGGUUCAUUUACUUCAGAAAGAAGAAAAGGAGGAGGAGAAGGAAGGGGAAGAUGUGAGGAUGGAGAAGAGAGAGAGAGAGAGUUUUAAAGUCUCACAGAUCUUGAGUGGCAAAGCCUGGCCCCUGGUCUUGCUCCCAUCCCACACCUCAGUCUCUCCAUCUGUAAACUGGGGACAAGAUAGUCUCUUCCCCUCUGCUCAAGGAACACUGAGAGAAGGGUGAGGUGAUGUCUCCAGGACUUCUGAGUGACUCAGAUGAAAGGCAACGCAGUACGGACAAAGUUUCUCCAGCUACGCGUUAAAGCUCCCUAGUGUUGAAAGGACCUUUCAUACAAGCAUGCAGAAA